rnacentral:rRNA from 1 species
GACGAACCGUGCGAACGUUAUUCGGAAUCACUGGGCUUAAAGCGCGUGUAGGCGGGAGGGCACGUCCGUUGCUGAAAUCCCCCGGCUCAACCGGGGAACGGGCGCGGAUACGACUCUCCUUGAGGGGCGUAGGGGGACCUGGAACUUCCGGUGGAGCGGUGAAAUGCGUUGAGAUCGGAAGGAACGCCCGUGGCGAAAGCGAGGUCCUGGACGCCUACGUGACGCUGAGACGCGAAAGCCAGGGGAGCGAACGGG